GAUCAUGGCUCGGGAUGAACGCUAGCUACAGGCUUAACACAUGCAAGUCGAGGGGCAGCAUGGUCUUAGCUUGCUAAGGCCGAUGGCGACCGGCGCACGGGUGAGUAACGCGUAUCCAACCUGCCUUACACUCUUGGACAGCCUUCUGAAAGGGAGAUUAAUACAAGAUGUUAUCAUGGGUAAGCAUUUUCGCAUGAUUAAAGGUUUACCGGUGUAAGAUGGGGAUGCGUUCCA
rnacentral:rRNA from 1 species